rnacentral:rRNA from 1 species
UACGGAGGGUGCAAGCGUUAAUCGGAAUUACUGGGCGUAAAGCGUGCGUAGGUGGUUUGUUAAGUCCGUUGUGAAAGCCCCGGGCUCAACCUGGGAAUGGCAGUGGAAACUAGGGGACUGGAAUCUGGCAGAGGGGGGUGGAAUGCCGCGUGUAGCAGUGAAAUGCGUAGAGAUGCGGCGGAACACCGAUGGCGAAGGCAGCCCCCUGGGCUGAGAUUGACGCUCAGGCACGAAAGCGUGGGGAGCAAACAGG